GGUCUAUCUCAAAACUAGAUGCUAUGAUAGGCUUUGAAGAUUUUGGUGGUUCGAGAUGUGUGCCCGUAGGUCUAUGAAAUUCAUAGAUAGACAUGUUUGAAUUCAUGAUAGACCAGAGAUCAAGGAUUAGAUAAGAAGAAAGAAUAGUAGAGAUGAGGCAAAGGAUAAAAGGAAAAAUAUAUAUUUUUUAUUUUUUUUAAAAAUGAUUAAGCUAGUUCGUAGUCAACUCAGCAACCGUUUCCCCGGCAACGGCGCCAAAAAUGCUUGUUGACACUUGCUAACAUUACUUGAAUACUAGGUUGUCAUCCCCAGCAUGGCACUAGAGUGUACUAUGGUAUUUAUAUGUACACAGAUAAAUCUGCAAGCGUACGGAUACCGUUGUAGCUUUUACCCGGUUAAAGGUUUUAUCGUAUCCACAGGGAAACGGGAGAACUGAUCUACGCUCUAACUUAACCUAGAUAGAUAGGUAGGUGUAAAUAGGAAAGAUGGUAGAAUUGAAUAAGAGCAAUAUUACAGGUAAGACAAAAAUGGGUGAUAAUAUGGGAAUAGAGAGUAGAGCAAUCUAGUAUAUGGGCGAUGGUAGGAGAAUAGAGAGGAUAACUAUGGUUUCUCUACUUCAAAGGGGUAUGUCUAUGUCUGGGACGAACCACGUGAUAAGAAUACACCACAAAGUUUGCUUAUCCAUAGGCUGAUAAACCCUACCUGUCCUGCUAACAGAAGGUGGACUACAGGGGACCAAAUUAACUGUCACCUACGCGGCCUACCACACGAUCCAACUAGACAGGGGAUAUCCACAAGUAAUCUAGGUUUAAGCACCACGCUUACACCUAUACUACAACUCUCACCUAUAGCGUCCUAUAGAUUAAAGUACUCAAAAGAGUUGUGAACCAGAACAUACAUGCAUACUAAUUUCAUAAUGAAAUAGAAGUAGAUUACCAGAGUUAUCCCAUGAGCAAGCUUGAUUAGAGCUUGAUCAUGAUGAAGUACAACCGGAGGAAGAACCGACAGGCCGGCAUCUCCUCCAAUCCUCCCUCGCUCUCCAUCUCGCUACUCUCUAGAUCUAUUCUAGUUUAGAGAUGAGAGGAGAGCUCUCAUCUCCAAACUCUAGCUUUUGCUCUGUCUAUGUAGAGGAAAGGUUAUCCUUCGAGGGCACCUCUCAACUCUACAAUGAACUUGUUCUCCUCCAGGGGCCAGGGGGUCUGCUUAUAGAGUCCCCUCAAGUGAAUCUGGGCCGUCGGAUCAAACCGACAUUGAUUGAAUGGUUAUCCUUGAUCCUUUAGGUCGGUGGAACGUAAUCCGCGAGACGGGUCCUGUUUGGACUCUGUAGCUGGGCGGGCGCUCUGCCCUCGAGCUUGCUCGGCUUCCCGUUCGUUCCCGUGGCUUCUGGGGUCUUCUAGAUGAUAGAAAAUUGCGCGGCACGUUAAUAUCUCUAUGUAAACCCGACGUGUGGCCCUUUCCUCCAUAUUUCCUGAUAACCCCCUGCAGAAAUAGAUAAACACCAAAACUCAUGGAAUUCUGUCAGAUAAAUCCCUAAGUCUAGGUGUCGGUUGCAUUUGGAUCCUUUUCUUUAUUUAUUUGAUGAUUAAAUUUGGUACUUAAGGACCGUCAACAGUGGCCGUCCACCAUCGCUACCGCGGUCAUCUACGCCUCCAGCGCGCCGUCCACCAUCGAUCCAGCCCCCUACACGUACUAGACACUCCAACCGAGAUCGAUAUGCAUGGCACUGUAGUGUAUAUAUAUAUAUAUAUAAUAAAUGAAUGCUAUGAAUUAUAUGUCGAGUACUUUGGAAUAUGAUUUUAGUGUUUUGUAUAUAUAUGAUUCUAGUGUUCUCUCUCUAUAUAUAUAAAGUAUAUAUAUAUAUAAUAAUGAAUGCUAGUAUAUUAAGUAUAUAUAUACACUAAAAAAUAAUGCAUGCUAGUAUAUUAUUCUAGUAUUAUUUUUUAGUAUAUUAUUCUAGUAUUACUUUUUAGUAUAUUAUUCUAGUAUGCAUGUAGUCUUUAAUAUAUAUUUUAAUUUCUAGUAUUUUGUAUAUAUUAUUAUUUGUACUAUUAUUCUAGUAUUAUUUUUUAGUAUUAUUUUUUAGUAUAUUAUUCUAGUGUAUUACUUGGCUUAAAAUACUUUUUAGUAUAUUAUUCUAGUAUAUUAUGAAUUAUAGUGUUUUGAAUUGUUAUGAAAUAUAUUGUGCUGGUAUAUUAUUCUAGUAUUACCUUUUAGUAUAUUAUUCUAGUAUAUUAUUAAUUCUAGUGUUUUGUAUAUAUUAUUGUUUGUAAUAUUAUCAUAGUAUUAUUUUUUAGUUUUAUUUUUUUAAUAUAUUAUUCUAGUGUAUUACUUGGCUUAAAAGACUUUUUAGUAUAUUAUUCUAGUAUAUUAUGAAUUGUAGUGUUUUGAAUUGUUACGAAAUAUAUUGUGCUAGUAUAUUAUUCUAGUAUUACUUUUUAGUAUAUUAUUAAUUCUAGUGUUUUGUAUAUAUUUUUGUUUCUACUAUUAUUUUAGUAUUAUUUUUUUAGUAUAUUAUUCUAGUGUAUUACUUGGCUUAAAAGACUUUUUAGUAUAUUAUUCUAGUAUAUUAUGAAUUGUAGUGUUAUUACCAAUGAUAGAUUUAAAACUCUAUUCUUAAUAGUGACACUAAAAAAUGUCAACACUUGGCAAAACAUCUAUGACCUCAGCUGAUCUUAGGGUUGGUGCUCAUGAAGAUGUCUUGUUUCGACCCUAUGACCAACUUCUUCAUAGCCUCGUCAUGGCCUUCACUACAGGAUUCGGAUGUUUUGCCGGGAGCCGUACACUCCCAGCAAAGGCUACUUUGCACUCGGCAAAGCCUUUGCCGGGAGCUGCACCCGGCAAAGAGCCUCCGACAAAAAACCGGCCGGCAA
rnacentral:lncRNA from 1 species